CUAUACAUGACUCUGCGCAUAUCAAUAAGCGGAGGAAAAGAAACUAACAAGGAUUCCCUUAGUAACGGCGAGUGAAGCGGGAAGAGCUCAAAUUUGAAAUCUUCAAGGUUUUACCUUGACGAAUUGUAGUUUAAAGAAGUGUUUUCUGUUGGAGUUUUGGUAAAAGUUCUUUGGAAUAGGACAUCAUAGAGGGUGAGAAUCCCGUAUUUGACCAUUAUUUCCAGCUUUGUGAUACACUUUCAAAGAGUCGGAUUGUUUGGGAAUGCAGUCCAAAAUGGGUGGUAAAUUUCAUCUAAAGCUAAAUAUUGGCGAGAGACCGAUAGCGAACAAGUACCGUGAGGGAAAGAUGAAAAGAACUUUGAAAAGAGAGUUAAACAGUACGUGAAAUUGUCAAAAGGGAAGCGUUUGACACCAGUGUUGUUUAGUUGAAAAUCAAUUAAAUAUUUUUCGAUUUUAAGUAGUAUUGACCUUAUCAGCUUGCUGCUUUUUCCUCGGAAAUUAUUUAAUGCACUUUUCAGUUAACAAGUCAACAUCAAUUUCUUUUGUUGUAAAAGGGUCAUUGGAAGGUGGCUUUCUUUUCGGAGAAAGUGUUUAUAGCCUUUGACUUCUGCAGUCGGAGAGAUUGAGGUCUGCAGCGUAGAUCCUUCGGGGUUAGAUACGUUUGUGCUAAGUUAUAGCUUUUCAUAGACAACUUGUUGACUAUGUUUAGUCUUGUAGCUUACUCGCUGACGCUAUUUUACCUACGCUUAGGAUGUUGAAGAUAUGCGCGACACGACUCUAUACAUGACUCUGCGCAUAUCAAUAAGCGGAGGAAAAGUAAAUUAUACCUACGCUUAGGAUGUUGAAGAUAUGCGCGACACG
rnacentral:rRNA from 1 species